rnacentral:ncRNA from 2 species
AGUUGAUUUUGCACUUCAGGAGUCUGAUUCUUUUCGGACCUCGAAAAGAGAACCCGGUUAGAUUCCGGGGCGGUUCUGCCGCUGUAAACUUUAUCCCUUUCAGGAUGAAGAAAAGCCAGCCUCUCUGCCUGAAGCAUGUCUGUUUU